rnacentral:rRNA from 1 species
UACGAAGGGGGCUAGCGUUGCUCGGAAUCACUGGGCGUAAAGCGCACGUAGGCGGCUUUUUAAGUCAGGGGUGAAAUCCUGGAGCUCAACUCCAGAACUGCCUUUGAUACUGAGAAGCUUGGAGUCCGGGAGAGGUGAGUGGAACUGCGAGUGUAGAGGUGAAAUUCGUAGAUAUUCGCAAGAACACCAGUGGCGAAGGCGGCUCACUGGCCCGGUACUGACGCUGAGGCACGAAAGCGUGGGGAGCAAACAGG